AGUAACGGCGAGUGAAGCGGCAACAGCUCAAAUUUGAAAUCUGGCCUCUUUGGGGUCCGAGUUGUAAUUUGGAGAGGAUGUUUCGGGUACGGUCCGGGCUUAAAUUUCUUGGAACAGAAUGUCACAGAGGGUGAAAAUCCCGUCUGGAGUCUGCGACACGGCCUAUGUGAAACUCCUUCGACGAGUCGAGUUGUUUGGGAAUGCAGCUCUAAAUGGGUGGUAAAUUUCAUCUAAAGCUAAAUAUUGGCCAGAGACCGAUAGCGCACAAGUAGAGUGAUCGAAAGAUGAAAAGCACUUUGAAAAGAGAGUUAAACAGUACGUGAAAUUGUUGAAAGGGAAGCGCUGGCAACCAGACUUGCGCGUCGGGGUUCCCCCUUGCUUCUGCUUGGGCUACUCCCCGGCGCUCAGGCCAACAUCGGUUUCGGGGGUCGGUUAAAGGCCCUGGGAAUGUACCUACCUCUCGGGGUAGACUUAUAGCCCAGGGUGUCAUGCGACCUCCCGGGACCGAGGAACGCGCUUCGGCUCGGAUGUUGGCGUAAUGGUUGUCAGCGACCCGUCUUGAAACACGGACCAAGGAGUCUAACAUCUAUGCGAGUGUUAGGGUGUCAAACCCUUACGCGGAAUGAAAGUGAACGGAGGUAGGAAGCCGUAACACGCUGCACUAUCGACCGAUCCUGAAGUUUACGGAUGGAUUUGAGUAAGAGCAUAGCUGUUGGGACCCGAAAGAUGGUGAACUAUGCCUGAAUAGGGUGAAGCCAGAGGAAACUCUGGUGGAGGCUCGCAGCGGUUCUGACGUGCAAAUCGAUCGUCAAAUUUGGGUAUA
rnacentral:rRNA from 1 species